rnacentral:rRNA from 1 species
UACGAAGGGUGCUAGCGUUGCUCGGAAUCACUGGGCGUCACGCGCACGUAGGCGGAUCGUUAAGUCGGGGGUGAAAUCCUGGAGCUCAACUCCAGAACUGCCUUCGAUACUGGCGAUCUUGAGUCCGGAAGAGGUGAGUGGAACUCCUAGUGUAGAGGUGGAAUUCGUAGAUAUUAGGAAGAACACCAGUGGCGAAGGCGGCUCACUGGUCCGGUACUGACGCUGAGGUGCGAAAGCGUGGGGAGCAAACAGG